CAGUAGCCGCGGGAAAACCGAGGGUGCAAGCGUUAAUCGGAAUUACUGGGCGUAAAGCGCGCGUAGGUGGUUUGUUAAGUUGGAUGUGAAAUCCCCGGGCUCAACCUGGGAACUGCAUCCAAAACUGGCAAGCUAGAGUAUGGUAGAGGGUGGUGGAAUUUCCUGUGUAGCGGUGAAAUGCGUAGAUAUAGGAAGGAACACCAGUGGCGAAGGCGACCACCUGGACUGAUACUGACACUGAGGUGCGAAAGCGUGGGGAGCAAACAGGAUUAGAUACCCCGGUAGUCCCUGUCUCUUAUAC
rnacentral:rRNA from 1 species